rnacentral:rRNA from 1 species
UCUUUAAAUGUGGACUAGUAUGAAUGGCACCACGAAGGUUAUACUGUCUCCUUUUUCCAAUCAGUGAAACUAAUCUUCCCGUGAAGAAGCGGGAAUAUAUUUAUAAGACGAGAAGACCCUAUGGAGCUUUAAACAACACAGCAAUUACCUACUAAACUAUUAAGUUUCUGAAUAUUAACANNCUUUUAAGUAAUCUGACUGUAAGUUUUUGGUUGGGGUGACCACGGAGCAUAACACAACCUCCAUGCUGAAAGAACUNCNUUUCUAAGCUAAGAACAACCCAUCUAAGCAUCAACAUAUUGACAUUCAUUGACCCAAUUCAUUUGACCAACGAACCAAGUUACCCUAGGGAUAACAGCGCAAUCCACUUCAAGAGCUCCUAUCGACAAGUGGGUUUACGACCUCGAUGUUGGAUCAGGGUAUCCCAGUGGUGCAGCCGCUACUAAAGGUUCGUUUGUUCAACGAUUAAAACCCUACGUGA